AGUACGCUAAGUCAUUAUUAUUAAAAAUCACAAUUAUUUCAACGAAUCUAAAUAGAACUAUAUUUCAAACAAAUAAAAAUCAAAUGGAAAUACUUAACAUCCCAAACUAAAUCACUCAACCAGCCUUAAAUAACCUAACAUGUUGAUCCAAUUAAGCAUAAUGCUAGAAUUUACUAAUUUUAUCUAAAACUAUUCUAGCAUUAUGCUUAUUCCAUUAUUGCCGUCCACCACCGGCAUCGCUUGAAGGGCACUACUAGUGCUCUUUUUCUCCCAUGGUUCACAUCCCUUCCUUUUCUCCCAUGGCAGGCAGAGACGUGAAGAGCUGAAGAUUGCCGAAAGAAGCAGCAACCAGAACUAAAAUAGCAGCAAGGCAGUAGGCAAAGAUGUGAAGAUUUUAUUAGGGAAGAUAGAAUUUUUAAUAGCAAGGCAGAGAGGUGAAGAUUGCCAGAAAAAAAAAUAGCAGUAAGGGAGCAAGCAGAGACGUGAAG
rnacentral:lncRNA from 1 species